rnacentral:rRNA from 1 species
GAUGAACGCUAGCGGGAGGCUUAACACAUGCAAGUCGAGGGGCAGCACGAGGUAGCAAUACUUUGGUGGCGACCGGCGCACGGGUGAGUAACACGUAUGCAACCUACCCUGUACUGGGGGAUAGCCCGGAGAAAUUCGGAUUAAUACCCCAUGAUAAUAUAGAAAGGCAUCUUUUUAUAUUUAAAGUUUCGACGGUACGGGAUGGGCAUGCGCAACAUUAGCUAGUUGGCAGGGUAACGGCCUACCAAGGCUACGAUGUUUAGGGGACCUGAGAGGGUGAUCCCCCACACUGGUACUGAGACACGGACCAGACUCCUACGGGAGGCAG